UACGAAGGGAGCUAGCGUUGUUCGGAAUCACUGGGCGUAAAGCGCACGUAGGUGGAUCGUUUAGUCAGGGGUGAAAGCCCGAGGCUCAACCUCGGAAUUGCCUCUGAUACUGGCGGUCUCGAGUCCGAGAGAGGUGGGUGGAAUUCCUAGUGUAGAGGUGAAAUUCGUAGAUAUUAGGAAGAACACCGGUGGCGAAGGCGGCCCACUGGCUCGGUACUGACACUGAGGUGCGAAAGCGUGGGGAGCAAACAGG
rnacentral:rRNA from 1 species